rnacentral:rRNA from 1 species
UUUUAUGAGAGUUCGAUCCUGGCUCAGGAUGAACGCUGGCGGCGUGCCUAACACAUGCAAGUCGAACGAGAUGCGUAUUGGAAAGCUUCGGCCGGAAGAUACGUUAUCUAGUGGCGGACGGGUGAGUAACACGUGGGUAACCUGCCUUAUGGAGGGGGAUAACAGAGAGAAAUC